GUCCGCUUCGGCCUUUUAACGAGUGACCCAUCUGUUUCAGAUCGCACCAUUCGGCGUUCUUCAUCAUCUCAUCCGCUUAAGCGAAUGAUAUGAAUGAAGAGCGGCACAAGUCAUGCUCAGUAGCGCAGGCAUACUGCGCUAAUGCGCAUGACGUCUCCCCAACACCAUCCUUCACUGGAACUUCUCCUGGCGCAAUUCAAUUCGGCGUUCUUCCGGGCUCGUGCAAGGAGUCUACCAUGCGGUAACACUGGUUCCCAACGCACGGAUCUGGUUCAACCCUCAACCGCCUGCAGCAUUCGCACCAGUAGCGUUGACAUCCGUCCACGCCCGUCGCACUUCCUUACUGGCGAAGAUAUUCCUCCUGGAUAACAUCGACUUCGUGUUGCCUUCCGUGAGAACAAUACUGUGAGUGAGACG
rnacentral:lncRNA from 1 species